CCUCGACAAUAAUAAAUAUUGACUAUUCAAUCUGAUUCUACAUUUAUGUCAAACAAUAUUAUGAAUAUAGUAGUCUAGAUAUGCUAACUUAAAUAGUUAGAAUAUAGAUCUAGAAUCUAGUCUAGAUUAGUUAUUAGUAGAUCUAGAUCUAAUCUAGGUCUAACAAUAAAAUUGAUUCGGAAUACCUUGAACUCAUCCUUUGUGAUUGUGUAAGCACUUUCAGUAGAACAAGAUUAUAAGUGAAGAGAUCUGGAUAAGCACGCUGGACUGUCGUUCGGACUUAUCGAUGGUCAGGGGUUCAAACCCUGCCCGCUCCCAUCCCCCGCCGUCCUGCGGGAGGUUUGGACUAGGAAGUAAUUAUCUUCAACUCUGAAGGAACAUCCGAAAUAAGUGGUGAUUUUAUUGUUUACCAUGGAGUUGUCUACUUUUCAAAUUUUACUGACCAAGUUUGUACAGUGACUGAUCCAUCUGCAGUUUCCGAACCAGUAACUGAUAUCUCAAAAAAAUAUUGCUAUACUGAUGGUGUCUGUCACCUCAGGGGAAUUAUGCAUUGAGUGAAGACAUCUUGCUGUAGAAGAGAAGAACAAUUCAGAUAGUUCACAUGAUUUACAAUAUGGCUUUGAUUGUCUUAUGUUAAUGGCUGGUAAAGAACUGAAACAUGUAGGCUGGAGAUCACUUGAUAGAAAUCAAGAAAUCUCUGAUCUACAUUGUAUGAGAAAAUCAUGAAGUGGUUGUUGUCAUUGAUCCAGAAACUAAGUUGCAAUCUGUCUUGAUAAAUAUAUCAUACAGAUUUGAUGGUGGCCUAUUCAACCCGAGGCGGCUUAAAGCAAAAACAAAAACAAAUGCAGCAGUAAUCAGAGACUUGCUAUUUGCUGACCACUGUGCCCUAAAUGCCUGCUCUGAAAACAAUCUGCAGAUCAUCGUCAGUGACUUCUCAAGAGCAUGCUCAGACUUUGGCCUUACCAUCAAUACGAACAAGACUGAAGUCUUAUAUCUACCUGCUCCUGGGAAGGCCUACUCGGAUCCAAGCAUUACUAUAAAUGGACAGGAUAUAAAUGCAGUGGACAAAUUCACAUAUCUUGGCAGCACACUCUCCAGAAAUGGAAAAAUCGAUAGUGAAAUCGACCUGCGUAUCGCCAAGGCCAGUGCAUCCUACGGCAGACUGUCUACAAAUGUCUGGAACAGACGUGGUAUCACCACAAACACCAAGCUAGGGGUCUAUAGAGCCGUCAUCCUCCCUACAUUGCUAUAUGCCUCAGAAACAUGGACAGUGUACAGUAAACAUGCAAAGAAACUAAACCACUUCCACAUGACAUGUCUGAGAAAAAUACUAAAUGUCAAAUAGCAAGACAAAAUACCAGAUACAGAAGUCCUUCGAAGAGCGUGUCUGCAAAGCAUCCACACAAUCCUGAUGCAGUCCCAGCUGCGAUGGGCAGGUCACAUCUACAGAAUGGAAGACCACCGCAUCCCUAAACGACUCCUGUAUGGCCAACUAAGCGAAGGAAAGCGCUCGCAAGGUGGUCAAAGAAAGCACUUCAGGGACACCCUCAAAGCUUCUCUGAAGGCGUUCAGCAUAGACCCAGGCACCUGGGAGACAGAGGCACAUGACAGAGCAUCAUGGCGUCGCGCUGUGAAAACUGGCGCACAGGUUGCUGGGGAAAAAAGAACAACGCUGGCAGAAGAAAAACGCCAGAAAAGAAAAGCAAGGCCCACGACACUAGCUCCAGCUGGAAUAACCUGCCCAGUGUGCGGCCGAACAUUCCGGGCUCACAUAGGUCUCACCAGCCACAUGAGGAGGCAUAAAACCCCAGUGCAAAGCCCUCAGCCCCCUGGAUGACAAAGUGGUCAUCAUCGAACCACGAUGGACGAACUAUAAGUUGCAAUCUGUCUUGAUGUUUAGUCACUUUGGGAGCAGUGAUCUUGAGAUUUCGAUGCUAGAUACUCUCAGAUUUGAAAGCCGGUAUCUUGGAUAUUUUCUUAGCUCCUCUAGAUCAAGAUGGCAAAGAACUUUAUAAGGAUAGGUCUCCCAUCCAUCACACAACAUUCAAGCACCAAUGGGUUUCUUUCAAGGAGUUGAAGAUAAGGUAGUUCCCCUUAACGAAGCUGAGAUGAGGCAGUUAAAGCAAAAGGACUGCAAUGUUUGUUUCUAGGACCAGACACAUGAGAAUUCGACAACAUAUGUAUCAGAAGAUCAAAAUCAGAAACUGAAAUCUGCCCAUUUGGAGUGUCACCAGAGAAUGCUGACCAUUUCCUCCAAAACUGCUCUCUUUACCAAGAGGCUGUACAUGACACUGGCUUCAAAACACCCCAAUAGAAAGAAAACUAUAUGGAGAGUUCCCUGAUUUGGAAACCACUGCGAAAAUAAUCUCAUAUACUGGUCCAGUCAUCUGAAUGCUCCAAUAAAAAAAUGAGAAGGAAGAAGAAAGAAGAUUGGAAGCAACAUGGCUAUCAAAAAGCAGAGACGAUACAAACCUCAUUAGAUGGAGAGUUUUAUUUUGUCGGUAAAGUCCUUGGUUUUGAGCCAGCAGAGAAACAUAGAAAGGGCCGUACACAUAUAUGUAAAAUACAUGCUAGAUCUAUGAGUGUAGAGAAAGAUAUUCGUUAUGAGCUGCUGGCUAGAUUAUGCCCAAACAGUACAGGAGUGGAAAUUCGUAGUGUUGGCACAGAAGCUGGAAUGUUUGCUAUCAGGGUUCAUAGGAAGAUGGCUACAGAGAAAGAUUUUCUGGAAGCAGUAAAUAAAGUCAUCAAAGCCUACGCCAAAUCUAGUGCAACUCCUUGCUACAUGACUUACAAUGAAAUCAAUUGUAGCUUGAUAGAAAUGUCUACUAGAGAAUCAGUACAGAACUUGUGUUUACUCACUGAUCUGACUUUAAACUUAAGUGAAUCAUUGUUUGUAUUCAUGAUGUUUUAUUUUAACUUAUUAAAUCAUGGUAUCUUUCUUAUUAAA